AGGGGCGGGGCCCGGGACCAGGGGCGGGAAGCAGACUCCGCCUCUCCAGCUCGAAGCGUCCCUUCCUCUUCCCGCCUCUCAGCUAGGCCUACUGACGUCGAUCAGCGCUGCCGCCCCGGACCAGUGACAGCAAAAGGUGGAGACAUGAGAGAGUCGGCUGGCUAUGCCCUAUCCUGGAGAGCUUACUGUUAGAAGAAUUCAUCUCUAAGAGACUGAAGUGGGUUACAAGAUGAACAAAAAGGACACCCCGAGUACUUCAAGGGACUUGGAGGAAUUGCAGAGGAAGCUGUCUUUGCUGAUAGAAUCCAUCCAGAAUAACUCAAAGGUGGUUGCCUUUAUGAAGUCUCCAGUGGGACAGUACCUGGACAGACAUCCUUUCACCGCCCUCACCUUGCUGGUGUUUGUCGCACUGUCGGCCGUUCCUGUGGGGUUCUUCCUGUUCCUCGUGGUGCUUACCUCCCUGGCUGCUUUUGUGGGAGUCAUAUUACUGGAAGGACUGGUCAUCUCUGUGGGCGGCCUCUCACUGCUUUGUGUCCUGUGUGGCUUGGGCUUCGUGUCACUUGUCAUAUCAACAACGAUCAUAGCGUCCUACGUGGUGGUCUCCAGCCUCAUCAACUGCACGCUUUCUUCCAGUCUCGCAAAACAACCAGAGCACAUCCAGCCUCCUUCCAUCUGUACUUAAGAUGAGGUUUCCUUCCGAGUGUUUUGUUAUCAGCCAGGAAUACUGUGGGUGGCAAGUAACAUAAAACCUAAGCACACCCCAGUUUAAACAAAUAGGAGUUUAUUUUUAUUGCAUAACGAAAAGCUGGAGCUCGCUCAGGGCCUUCUGCCUUUCUGCAUUGCCAUCUUUAGCGCAUUGGUUUGUCACCUCAUGGCCACAAGAAAGCUGCUGUGGCUCUGGUGACAGCGACUACAUUCCAGGCAGGAUGAAGGGAGGAAAAAACGAGUCCUCUCUCACCAAUUGAGUCUGGCCCUUUCUAUCAAACCACGACACAAAAGCCCAGCGGGGACUGCCAGCGGGCCAAGAAGCCCGCAGACUUAGAGGGGCUGGACCAGGAAUGACCAGCCGGCCAGACGGACCAGAGCGUUUUUCCAAUCCUCCCUGGCAGGUUGUUGGAUCUCACACGCCCCUAGGGCUUAUGACUCAGCGGGGGCUGAAUAGUCAAGCACAGUGAAGCACUCUGUGGCGCUGCCCGCAGCCUUUUCACUUGUUCGUCGGAUCCUGCAGCAACCACCCUUGGCCAUGUUGUUGCUCUUGUGUCGGGCCUGUGGGCUGACCCAGCCUCACUUGGAGAAUCAGCAGAGGACUGAUGGCUCAGUGGCUCCUCCCGCCGCUCACCCCCUUCCCCCCGGUGAUUCGGACUUGACUUUGGCGGGGUCCUGAGUGAGCCUCCAGAACUCGGCGACUUGAUCCCAAACGCUCAGGUCUUGUCCCCAAGGGCCCAGUUUGGGGCAGUCGUGGGUUGUUUUUUCUUAUUCUUUCUUCCUUUUUUGUUUUUCUUUUUUUGGAGGGGGAUGAGAGAAACAGUUUAUUUCUUCACUCAUUUCAAUCAAGAGCUGGGGGGAGUCUAAAAGAGAACAAGCUCUUCUGCCUUUUUCGCUUUUUUCCGGAAAGAACAGCACUGUUUGGCAAUAAUGGCCUCUCAGACAAAGUUGGAAAACAGUCCAAACUUCGUUUUAUGGCCAAGAGCAUUUUUUGAAAAGUCUGAAGGUGUAGUUUCCACUGUUGAGUGCUGUUACUCCUUUAAAUAUUUGCACUUGACACUUUCAUGUUGUUUUAAACAACUUGUCUUGUUAAGCCAUUUCUUGAAAGAGUCCUAUGAAAAUGCUAAAGGUCUACAGACAGUUUUAAAAUCCUAUGGGGUUUCAGCUUCAGUGGUCUAUUUGCUGUGAUUUUAUUCAAUAAAUAUUUAUUUAGAUGCACUAGUUUUCUUUAUUCUUUAUUCCCUUCCUGCC